AGAGUUUGAGUUAUGGCUCAGGAACAACGGCUGGCGGCGAUGGAUUAGGCAUGCAAGUCGAACGGUGCAGCAAUGCAUAGUGGCGCAAGGGUGAGGAACGCGUGAGUAACCUGCCCUCAAGUUGGGAACAGCUUCUGGAAACGGAAAUUAAUACCGAAUGUGACCAUAGGGAGGCAUCUUUUUAUGGUUAAAGGCCGCAAGGUCGCUUGAGGAGGGGCUCGCGUCCCAUUAUGCUAGUUGGUGAGGUAACGGCCCACCAAGACGAAGAUGGGUAGCUGGUCUGAGAGGACGAUCAGCCACACUGGGACUGAGAACUGCCCAGACUCCUACGGGAGGCUGCAGUCGAGAAUUUUGGGCAAUGGACGAAAGUCUGACCCAAGCAAUGCCGCGUGCGGGAUGAAGGUCUUCGGAUUGUAAACCGCUGUCAAGUGGGACGAAACAAAUGACGGUACCGCUGAAGGAAGUCACGGCUAACUACGUGCCAGCCGCUGC
rnacentral:rRNA from 1 species